AUUGAACGCUGGCGGCAGGCUUAACACAUGCAAGUCGAGCGAGCGGCGGACGGGUGAGUAAUGUCUGGGAAACUGCCUGAUGGAGGGGGAUAACUACUGGAAACGGUAGCUAAUACCGCAUACCAUCAGAUGUGCCCAGAUUGGAUUAGCUAGUAGGUGGGGUAAUGGCUAACCUAGGCGACGAUCCCUAGCUGGUCUGAGAGGAGGACCAGACACCGUGGAAAUGAGACACGGCCCAUACUCCUACGGGAGACAGCAGUGGGGAAUAUUGCACAAUGGACGCAAGCCUGAUGGAGCCAUGCCGCGUGUAUGAAGAAGGCCUUCGGGUUGUAAAGCACUUUCAGCGAGGAGGCGUUACUCGCAGAGUAAGCACCGGCUAACUCCGUGCGAGCCGCCGCGGUAAUAC
rnacentral:rRNA from 1 species